rnacentral:rRNA from 2 species
GAUUUCUGGCUUGAUACAUUUUGCCGGCCACGGUUUCGUGUGUUAGUGCUUGAUGUUCUGGCCAUCCUUCCAAUCGCUGCUCACUUUUCUUCAUUGAUUGGUGCGGUGGUAUUGGAUCUUUUACUUUGAAAAAAUUAGAGUGUUUCAAGCAGGCUUUAUGCUAUGAAUACAUUAGCAUGGAAUAAUGAUCUAGGGCUUCGGUUCUAUUUUGUUGGUUUCUAGGACUGAAGUAAUGAUUGAUAGGGAUAGUUGGGGGUGCUAGUAUUCAGCGGCCAGAGGUGAAAUUCUUGGAUUCGCUGAAGACUAACUUAUGCGAAAGCAUU